rnacentral:rRNA from 1 species
UACAGAGACUGCGAGCGUUAUUCGGAUUCACUGGGCGUAAAGGGUGCGCAGGCGGCCAAGUGUGUGAGGCGUGGAAGCCCGGGGCUUAACCCCGGAAUUGCACCUCAAACUACAUGGCUAGAGCAUUGGAGAGGGUAGCGGAAUUCACGGUGUAGCAGUGAAAUGCGUAGAUAUCGUGAGGAACACCAGAGGCGAAGGCGGCUACCUGGACAAUUGCUGACGCUCAGGCACGAAAGCGUGGGGAGCAAAAGGG